rnacentral:rRNA from 1 species
UACGUAGGGGGCUAGCGUUGUCCGGAUUUAUUGGGCGUAAAGAGCGUGUAGGCGGCCAGGUAGGUCUGCUGUGAAAACUCGAGGCUUAACCUCGAGAUGUCGGCGGAAACCAUCUGGCUAGAGUCCGGAAGAGGAGAGUGGAAUUCCUGGUGUAGCGGUGAAAUGCGCAGAUAUCAGGAAGAACACCCGUGGCGAAGGCAGCUCUCUGGGACGGUACUGACACUGAGACGCGAAAGCGUGGGGAGCGAACAGG